UCAUUAUCUUUCGAGUGACGCGCACAUGAGUGUGCGGUCCUUGUAUGAUACGGACUCAAUAGACACAGACCUGGGCAGAUAUUGUAUAAAUUCAAGCUAAAAAGAGACGAUUCCCUUGUGUCGUGUGUGAUGUUAAAAUGGUAUUCAAGGUGUUGGCGAUCGUCCUUUCGGCAGCCAUUUGUAAUGCUGCAAGAAAUGACAGAGAAAUUGGACAAGAUCCUGGCAAUAUAUCCGCUAGACGUAGCAACAUCCCCGUGGCACUAACGGGAUCGCCAACUCAUCCCUCGGUAAAGAGCACAACAUCGACGUCAGAGGCAACGACGCCAAGGGGACACACGACGCCAGAGGGACAUUCGACGUCAGGGGCCUACCUGACGACAAAUACGACUUCAUCAACAGGCCUCCCACCUGAAAUUCGAGAGACACUAGUAUCGGCUGUCUCGCGCAUACGCCAAGCUGUCGAAGACCUCUCCUCCCAUCUGGAGCACAGCAGUGGAGUCCCUGCUUGCAGCUCAAACGGUGGGCUGUGUCUCUUUGGUAUUUUGUUGUCUUCAACUACAAGUUAUAUCUGGAAUCAGCUGCUUUGUCCAUCGCACCUUCGGAAACUUCCGUAACGCAGCACCAAAACACAAAACAAGUGUGAUUAUGCUAUUUUUCUUUCUGCUUCCAAAGCUAUGCCGAUGGAGGAAGAAAGUAUAGUGUCGAAGACAUCAAACAUGUACGCUGUCGUCACCUCAUUCGCUGUGGUUGCCGUUACAAGUUAAUAAAAAAACAAUAGAGCUAGA